UACGUAGGGGGCAAGCGUUGUCCGGAAUCAUUGGGCGUAAAGAGCGUGUAGGCGGCUUGAUAAGUCGGCUGUGAAAGUCAGGGGCUCAACCCUUGAAUGCCGGUCGAUACUGUCAAGCUAGAGUCCGGAAGAGGCGAGUGGAAUUCCUGGUGUAGCGGUGAAAUGCGCAGAUAUCAGGAGGAACACCGAUGGCGAAGGCAGCUCGCUGGGACGGUACUGACGCUGAGACGCGAAAGCGUGGGGAGCAAACAGGAUUAGAUACCCUGGUAGUCCACGCCGUAAACGAUGGGCACUAGGUGUGGGAGGUGUCGACUCCUUCCGUGCCGAAGCUAACGCAUUAAGUGCCCCGCCUGGGGAGUACGGCCGCAAGGCUAAA
rnacentral:rRNA from 1 species